UCUAGGUUGACCUCGGAUCAGGUAGGGAUACCCGCUGAACUUAAGCAUAUCAAUAAGCGGAGGAAAAGAAACCAACAGGGAUUGCCCUAGUAACGGCGAGUGAAGCGGCAACAGCUCAAAUUUGAAAGCUGGCCUUCGGGUCCGCAUUGUAAUUUGUAGAGGAUGCUUUGGGUGAAACGCCAGUCUAAGUUCCUUGGAACAGGACGUCAUAGAGGGUGAGAAUCCCGUAUGUGACUGGAAAUGUUAACCUAUGUAAAGCUCCUUCGACGAGUCGAGUUGUUUGGGAAUGCAGCUCUAAAUGGGAGGUAAAUUUCUUCUAAAGCUAAAUAUUGGCGAGAGACCGAUAGCGCACAAGUAGAGUGAUCGAAAGAUGAAAAGCACUUUGGAAAGAGAGUUAAAAAGCACGUGAAAUUGUUGAAAGGGAAGCGCUUGCAAUCAGACUUGUUUAAACUGUUCGGCCGGUCUUCUGACCGGUUUACUCAGUUUGGACAGGCCAGCAUCAGUUUCGGCGGCCGGAUAAAGGCUCUGGGAAUGUGGCCUUCACUUCGGUGAAGGUGUUAUAGCCCAGGGUGUAAUACGGCCAGCCGGGACUGAGGUCCGCGCUUCGGCUAGGAUGCUGGCGUAAUGGUUGUAAGCGACCCGUCUUGAAACACGGACC
rnacentral:rRNA from 2 species